rnacentral:misc_RNA from 1 species
AAGUCGUAACAAGGUUUCCGUAGGUGAACCUGCGGAAGGAUCAUUACAGAGUAAACUUGGUGGGUUGUUGCUGGCUCUCAAUUGAGCAUGUGCACACCUGUCAUCUUUAUCUUUCCACCCUGUGCACUUUCUGUAGGACUGGAAUAGACACUAAGCCUAGUCACUUGUGGGCUAUUGGAAAGUUGCUGAUUUUCUCAUCUCUUUCUGUUUCUGGCUGUCUAUUCUAGGCUCUACGAUAUUUCUAUAUACACCAUGUAUGUCAAUGAACGCAAUCAAUGGGGCCCAUAAAGCCCUAUAAAUCUAUAAUACAACUUUCAGCAACGGAUCUCUUGGCUCUC